rnacentral:lncRNA from 1 species
UUCCCAAACUACAGGGCAGGAAGUGAGUGGGCUCCCUUGCCUAUCAUUCUUUGUUUGGAAUCCUAAAUAAGAAGCAGGCUCCCAGCCUCCAGCACCUACACAACGUUACUUAGUAAAUGAAGGUUUUACUUGCCUGAAUUCCUCCCUCUUAUUGUGUUUCCUAACAGUUAUUCAUAACAAAAUACUGCACAGAUUCCAAGCCGGCAGGGUACCACUGUGGACUAUCAUGUCGACACAAUCAAAUCUGUUCUCUCAUCUUAAGUGCGUUCCUUUACUUACUCUUAUAAAGACUCAUUCAUUAAUUAAUGUCAGAAUACACAUCAUUCUAUUAUUAUUCUAAGGGAUAUAUCCAUAUGUUUACUUGUCCCCUAAGUGUGUUGUCUCAAAAGCAUAGAUUAAUUUUGCAAGUACUAUACAUAUUUCUAUGGUGAUUAAUUAGAAUAUAUUCAUCCAAACCAUUUCUCAUCCAGUUUUCUGUAGGUAAGAUUGAUAUGUGAAAACAAACAGCCUUUUGUUCCAAUUAGGUAGCAGCAUUUUAUAUCCAUUUAUAGAUGAACUAAAAAUAAUACUCGCAAUUGCAAGCAAAAGGCACCCUCUUGGUUCAUAUUUCCAACACACACACUUUCAAAAAAAUAGCAGGCACUCAUGAUGGAAGAGAUGUGAAUGCUACUGCUGACACCAAAGCCUCCAGUUACCCCAGGAUUUGAGUGCUGACUGGUUCCUGAUUUAUUUUAGGCAAAUUAGGCAGCAUAAUGAGUAAAACAAAUACUUUGAGGAUCAGAUUUAAAUGAACAAAUCUAAAGGCAUUCAGGUAUACGUCUGAUUUCCAUGGUGAUUUCUUCAAUUGUGGUAAAGUCUUGGCAGCUGCAAGCAUCAGUUAAUGAUAUGGAGUUCCAACAAUAACAGAGUCCUGCUCAGAAUGGAUUUACAGAAAAUUUGGCCAGUCUGAUCCAAAGCUACCAAAUUGGCAAAUUUACUCAAAGUCGAUGGUGUCGAUUACACUUCACAAGACAAUGAUGAGAAAAAAAUCUGGUGUAUAGAAACAUAUUGUCUUUGGGGGUUUAAGAAAGAAAAAUUAAUUUCUUGGCCAUUACUUGUCCAACUGGAUAUAAGGACCCACAUGUCCAUCGUGUUAACAGUUUAAAAUACGUUUUCACAAACAUCAUCUCAUAAAAUUGUCACAACAACCCUGUGAAGCAGGAGAUGCUGACUUUAACAGACAAAGAAACGAAGUACUAAACAAUUAAAUAACUUCCCUAAAGUCACACAGAAAUGAUCCAAACAACUGUAAAAACAGCUGAAGCUAUAAAAUAAAUAAAUUUAAAUGACUAUUCAUCAAAGUUGGUCAGAUUGUGGUACAAGCUCUUUCUUUAUGACCCUAAUAGACAACUCAUUCACUAGCAGAGUUUCCCUCGUGGGAGGUGACCAGUCGGUGGCCUGUGGGAUAUGGCAAACCACCAGGUGAUGGAGGGCACUCUAAGGACCAGACACUCCUGGAUGACAAAUGCUGACAUCUUCUUCCUCAUAGCCGGCUGGGCAUGAAUUCAUCUGGAGCCACUCCUGAAACACAUAUAUUUUCUUUCUCGGGUUUCCAGGGAUUCAAAGAUGUGCUUUCAACAAAACAACUUGGACGUUCCUUUGGGUGCAAAGGUUUAAAGAUUCCGCAUUGCCACCGCCAUGGCACAGGCUGCAAAUGUGGCGUGUGUUCGAUCCCUGACCUGGGAACUUCCCUUGCCAAGGACAUAGCUAAAAAAAGAGAAAAGGAGGAAAGAUUUCAAAACAAAACAGGCAGUUCCCGUAUGGCUCAGGAGAAACGAAUCUGACUAGCAUCCAUGAGGAUGCAGGUUCAAUUCCUGGCCUUGCUCAGUGGGUUAAUGAUCCAGCAUUGCCAUGAGCUGUGGUGCAGGUCACAGACACAGCUUGGAUCUCAUGUUGCUGUGGCUGAGGUGUAGGCCAGCGACUACAGCUCUCAUUCCACCCCUAGCCUGGGAACCUCCAUAUGCCAUGGGUGCAGCCCUAAAAACAAAACAACCUUACACAAAAAUGUUCAGCAUUGUUAAAUUCUAUAUCUUGCAUUCUUUCUCACCUCUCUCUCUUUCUAAACACAUUUGUCAAGGCACAGGAACAAAAGCCAUUCCGAAAAGUACCUGAACAAUAUUUUACAAUUAAAAAAUGAAUUUUGAAUUUGAAGACAAGGAUCCAAGGUAUCACUUGUCCUAAGAAUGCCAAGGCACCUAAAGACAGAAAAGCCAGUUUCCUACUGAUCCAAAAGGUGGACUUUUGGAACCACAGAAGCUCAGGCUGGAAGAGGUUAUAGACCCUCUAAUCCAAACCUCUCAUUUUCCCAAGGAGGAAGUCCCAGUGAUAAGAAGGUCACGUAAAGAAUUAGCACCUGACCACAAUGUAAAAACAAACAUCUCCUGACCUCUGUCUAGGGCUUCUCUGCUAUAAUUUCAUAGUGAAAAGGUGCCUGGUCACCUAAGCAACAAUUCUUAGGAUCAGUCAGCUCCAAGCUACCUGGAUGUUUUCCCCUCCCUAUGAACAGGGACCAAGAAAUAUCUUCUCACUUCCUGCCUCUGAGCUUUUUCAGAGGAAAAUAAACUGGUCAAAGCAAAGGAGAGGAAGAAGCUAUGUGCCUAUUUCGCCAGCUCCAUCUCGGGCAUUAAAAUUGUAUUAUCUUGAGGUCAAGACAUCUUUUUUUUUUCUUUUUUAAAAAUAUUUUUUAUUAAAGUAUAGUUCAUUUACAAUGUUCUGUCAAUUUCUGUUGUACAGCAAAGUGACCAGUCACACAUACAUAUACAUUUUUUUCUCAUAUUAUUUUCUACCUUGUUCUAGAAAAUAUGAUAUAAGUGAAUGGAUAUAGUUCCCUGUGCUAUACAGCAGGACCUCAAGACACCUUAAAUCUAACCCUGGCACUAGAAUCUUCAAAAAUUUGACAUAAGGUCAUGACUUCCCAAUUAGCUUCUGUAAGAUAUUGAAGGCCAAAUAAAACUAGUGAAGGUUAAGGGAUUAGUUUAAGCAGAAAGUAGACCAGGGUAAAGGUAGUCUUUUCUUUUUUUUUUUUUUUUCUGUCUUUUUGCCUUUUCUAGGGCUGCUCCUGCAACAUAUGGAGGUUCCCAGUCUAGUGGUCUAAUCGGAGCUGCAGCUGCCAGCCUACGCCAGAACCACAGCAACGCAGGAUCCAAGCCGCAUCUGCAAACCUACUCCACAGCUCACACCAACGCCAGGUCCUUAACCCACUGAGGAAGGCCAGGGAUUGAACCUGUAACCUCAUAGUUCCUAGUCAGAUUUGUUAACCACUGCGCCACGAAGGGAACUCCAAGGUAGUCUCAUUUUAAAAGUUUGCAUAAAGGCACAUGUCUUCAACAGAUACCAUUUAUUCCUGGGCUGUGGCAUCCCUCCGAAUAGUUUGAAAGAUCUUAGAGAAAACAGGAUUUAUUCAUUUCUUUUCUAACACAUCAGUGUGAGACCUCAGCGUAGGUGCUCAAUAAUUUCCUUUUGAAUGAAGGUGAAAAAAAAAUAAUAUAUUCUCCUUUCAGCCUUUAGGAAGUAGCCCUCUUUUAAAUGGCAAAUAAUUUAAGAAACAUGGGCUGCCUAAAUCACUGAAGAGAGAAGCAAAACUUUUUUGUACAAUAAUAGCUAUAGUCAAUCUUCAGAAUUAUUAAAUCGAAUCUUCUUGUAUCAUAUGAAAGGAGACAAAGUCCAGUGAGGUGAACCUCUGUGCUGCAUUUGUACACACCCCAAGACAGAACCAUGUGAACCAUCAACUUCCAAGAAGUCUCAAGAAUCCCAGUUCUGUGAGCCAUUGCAUCACGGAGGGAGGUCUUGGUCACUGGACCAGUUGUCUAGGCACAGAGAAGAGACCAUCAAGACCAACAUGCUAUGCCUCACACUCCCAUCCCCUUGAUUGCCAAUCUCCUUCUUUAUCCUGGUCUGUACAAUGAAUUGGACCAUCCUCAUCGCCUUUCCCCUCUCUUUCAAACCUUUCCAAUUUCCCUUGGUCAACUGAAUACUCCUCUCUACUCUCCAUCUUUUCUUACAAUGUUCUCUUCACUCGUCUUACUAAAACCUCUAAGCCCUCUAAGUACUGCUCGGAAGACUGCUCGCAUGGAGGCUUUUACUUUUCUUGCUCAUGCAUCAGAGCAUCCUUCCUCACUCUCAUUGCCACUUCUAGUCCAACACUCUCAUCCACUUCCUCCCAAAACUACUGCUCUCUUAAAUCUUGUAUCAUGCAAAUACGUCACCCUUGCAGUGUAAUUGUUGUGGUCACCUACCACCUCGUCACUCUCCUCAUUUGUAGACAACUUUAGCCCCUAGCUCUGUCUUCCUCUGCACCCCACUACAGUCAUUAUUGCUAUGACUCAUCAUGAACGUGAAGGAACCUUGACUUCCUGACUCUCAGAUCCUAGAUCUCCUCCUACCCAAGGAUAUGUCAUCAGACCUCAAAGAACACAAGCUUCAGCACAGGAAACAACAAGCUCUCCUAUCUCCCUAGUUAUGAUAUGGUGAGUAUUAUCAUGGAAGGAACAUAAAGUACUAAAGAAACAAUGCUAGGAGUUUCAUUAAUUUCUUCUCAGGGAGUUGAGGAAGUGUGUAUGAGAAUACCUAACAUGUGAUAGACCUUGAAAGAUGAAUAUCAGUGACAAGAUGGACAAUGGCAGAGGGAACAGCACAAGCAAAGCCAUCAAACAAUCUCAAGUUCAGAAAACAGCAAAUAACCCGAUAUGGUGAAGAAAUCAAGUUGUAUUGGGAAGAGUGGAAAAAGAUGGUAAAGGUUCCGGACAAGGCCAGAUUAAGAAGUGUAAUAAAUAACAAACCAAGAAAUGUUAAAGGAAGUGUUUUAAAUACCCAGCCAAGAAAUACUGAAGGAAGGGUAUUAAAUACCAAGCCAAGAAAUAUUGAAGGUUUGAAGAGGAAUUAUAUGGGCAGAUCUGUGAUUCUGAGCUAAUGAAUGCAGACUGUAAUGAGUAGUUCAUAAGUCGUAGAAACAAAGUACAUUUGGAUUACGGACAAGGGAGAGGUUAAUUCCAAUUCAGCAUCUAAUUCUUGGCAGAAGCUGAAGU